CAAUCACUCUUAAAUCUUACAAAAGCCUUAUAGUUUCAGGGUAAUAUUUCUUAGGAAGAUCAGUUUUCCCAUCUUCUCUACGCAUACAAUGAAGCUUCCAACCAGAAGAGAGAUACACCAAAGAAGAAGAAAAACAGAGCAGGAAGGCUUUCAUUCAUACUCAAAACUAGAAUAUUUGUAAAGAAAUCAUCAGCUUCUAUGUAGAAGCCAAUGACCCAAUAUCAUACCCUGACCAAAUUCACAGAAAUCCCAAUUAGACCAGCUUAUCGGCAAUUACCCACUCAGAAAUCACGGAGAUUUAAGCGAUCUUGACCUCAAUCGUCUUGGGCUUCUUGGGCUCCGGCGGUGGUACCUUCUCAACGGUGACGGUCAGUACUCCAUCUUGACAAACCGCGGAGAUCUUAUCAGUAUUCGCAUUCUCCGGCAACGCAAACUUCCUCAUAAAUUUGCCUACCCUCCUCUCCAUUCUCACGUACUUGACGCCUUCCUUCUCUUCCUCGCGCUUCCUCUCUCCGCUGAUCACCAGCACAUUGUCGUCCUCCACCUGAACCUUGAUGUCGCCGGACUUCAGCCCCGGCAUGUCGACGAUGAAGGUGUAGGAAUUCGGGUACUCCUUGACGUCAGCAGGCGUCGCCGCCAUGGCCUUGGCGUCGCGGACGUAGGUGCGAGUGGGGGCGCUGACGGACUUGUCGGAGUCAUCGGUGGCGUCUAGCAUGUGUUGGAGGGCAGAGAAGAGUGGAGAAUCGAAGCCCAUCAUCCUCGAAUCCAUGUUGGGUUCCAGAGAUUUGUUGGUGUGAGAAUGUGAACAACUGCAAUUGCGAAUGUAGAAGUGCUUGAAUGUUGGAAGGGAUCGGAGGUAGUGAUGUGGUUUUUAUAUUAGACGAGUUGGGAAACAGAGGAAGGUUCUGGAAACAACAAGAAGGAGGAGAAUUGGGAGUUUGUAUCUGUUGGCUCUGCUCCAACGGUUCCAGAAGUUUGUGGAAGUUUCUUUAAAAUGACUAAAGUACCCCUCAUUUGUUCAUAAAAAUUACCUUUUAAAAGAAGUUCUAUUUCAACUUACACGGUAGUUCACAAAUCUUUUAUCAUAUUAUUGUCAACAAGCUAUGGUUUUGAUCAAUGCUUGAUGUAAAUUUUUAUUUUGAUUUUAGAAAAAAAAUAAAAAUAAAGACAUAAUUCUAAAAGGUAUUAUUACGGUAAAAAGUUAAACUAAAACUUUGAGAUAAAAUCAUUUUUUAGGGAACAUUUAAUAAAUCAAUUUAAUAACUUAAAGUAAAUUAAUAAUUUAAUUUAUAUUAUUAAAUAAAUUAAGUAUGUUUGAUAAAAUAAUUUAAUGAUAUAACUUAAGAAUAAAAAAUAACUUAAAGUAACAAACAAAAAUAAUUAAUUAAUUCUUAAAUUUAUAUCUUUAUUUUAAUUUUUUUACUCUUAUUUAUCCGAACUAUUUUCAUAAUCUUUUUUGUUAUUUCAUGACUUUCAUUGUUACUCAAAUUACUUUAUCCUAAUUAUAUAAUUUAUGAAGAUAAAUAUAUUAAUUUGGUGAUUUAUAAUAAAUUUUAAUUUAAUUUUAUUAAAUAACCUUAAUAUUUAAAAUAAGAAUUAAAUAAUAAUUUUUAAGUCAAUAAUUUAAAUAUAAUUUAACUUAAAAUCAAAUUAAAUAAUUAAAUAAUAAAUAAUAAAUUUUACCAAAUACCAUUUUAGAAUUGUUUUUAUAGUAAAGUUAGUUAAAUAAAUACAGAUUUUUUUAUUAAUAAGAGUUUUUGAACUUAGAUCCAACUUGUGUUUUAUCUAUUAAAAUUUAAAAGUUAUAACCAAUUAAGCAUUAACAAUUAAAAAAAAAUUACUCUUUAUUUCUAAAUCGUACAUUAAUAAUAAUUGACUAAUAAAUUAUGAACAUGGAUAAUUUGCCCCUUAUCGGUAGGAGCAUAAAUUACAUGGCAAGUCAUGUUGGGUACAUUUAACUUGGAUUGAACAAGGCGUAGAAGGAUUAAAUAGAAGUAUAUCAUUGAUGAUAAUAUUGCUUAAAUUUAUUUAAUGUCUUCAUUAUUCUAAUACCAGUCAUUAUAUUUGAUCAUUUUCAAAGAGAACAACUCUUCCCUGAGACAAAUAUGGUGUCACUCUCCCAAUCUAAAUUACAAAUUUAGAUUAUCGAAUUCCCUACCCAAAAUCCAAUCUUCCCAGUUAAAAAAAAAAGACUUGUAGUGAAGUUGUCAACCAGAGGAAAUACCACACCUUACUAUGGCUUUUUAAUUGCCGUUAAAUCUUAAAAAUUCUCCAGGAAAAAUGAAAACGAGGCAAGGAAGAGAAAAGGCAGACUUUAUUGACGGUACUGAAAAAUCAAAACUAUACAUUAUACUGUAAUGAAGAGAUCAGUAUUUUCAUCACCCCAAGCCAUUGACCCAAGAUCAAACCCAGACAAAGGCUCCUGUGGCACAGCAACAUUACCACAUUAUUUACUACUAAAACUCCAGAAAAACCCUCCCAAAACCCCCUACAUUUCAAGCAAUUUUGACCUCAAUGGUCUUGGGCUUCUUGGGUUCCGGCGGUGGCAGCUUCUCGACGGUGACGGUCAACACCCCAUCUUGACAUACAGCAGAGAUCUUAUCAGUAUUCGCAUUCUCCGGCAACACGAACUUCCUCAUAAACUUCCCCACUCUCCUCUCCAUUCUUACGUACUUGGCACCUUCCUUCUCCUCCUCUCGCUUCCUCUCUCCGCUGAUCACCAGCACAUUGCCGUCCUCCACCUGAACCUUGAUGUCGCCGGACCUCAGCCCCGGCAUGUCGACGAUGAAGGUGUAGGAAUUCGGGUACUCCUUGACGUCAGCCAGCGUCGCCGCCAUGGCCUUGGCAUCCCGGACGUAGGUGCAAGUGGCUUAAGGUUGAGGGAUUCAAAGACCUUGUUCGAACUUGUGGCAGGGGAUCAAAGUCAGUGGCAGUGCUAGUUAUAGAUUAGCUGCUAAAAUGAAGGAAGUAAAAAAGAAGCUGAAAGUAUGGAACAAAGAGGUUUUUGGGAGGCUGGAAUGCAACAAAUCUUCAGCCCUACAACAAGUAGAUUUCUGGAAUCGGGUGGAAAGCGAGAGAAACUUGACUGUGGAGGAAACUAAAUUAAAAAAGAAGCAAAAGAAACCUAUAAAAAGUGGGUUCUGUUGGAGGAAGCUCAUUGGAGAUAGCUUUCAAGGGAGAUUUGGCUAAGGGAGGGGAAUAGAAACACGGGUUUCUUCCAUCGAAUGACAAGUAUUCAUCGUAGAAACAAUGCUUUUGACAGAAUUAAGGUUAAUGGGGAGUGGCUGUCAGAGGAGCAGGAGGUGAGGGAAGAAAUUGUUAACACAUUUCAGUAGAUGCUCUCUAAAGAUAUGGAAUGAAAGGCGAAUAUUGGAAGAAUUCAUAUUGAUCACAUCAUCCGGCAAGAAGCAGAGAGUUUGGAGGUCCCAUUUACAGAGAUUGAGAUUUAUACGGCGUUGAUGGAGAUGAAUGGGGAUAAAGCCCCUGGUCUGGAUGGCUUUACUGUAGCUUUCUGGCAAAACGCUUGGGAUUUUACCAAAGAGGAGAUUCUGGAUAUGUUUAAAAAAUUUCAUGAACAUAACUCUUUUGUUAGAAGUCUCAACAAUACUUUUUUGGUAUUGAUCCCUAAGAAAAGUGGGGUUGAGGAUCUUGGAGACUUUAGACCUAUCAGUCUCUUAGGGGGCCUUUAUAAACUUUUGGCUAAAGUUCUAGCUAAUAGGCUAAAAAAAGUGAUUAGUAAGGUGGUCUCCAUUGCCCAGAAUGCCUUUGUAACAGGAAGACAAAUUCUUGAUGCGUCAUUAAUUGCUAGUGAGGUGAUAGAUUCAUGGCAGAAGAGAAAAGAGAAGGGCCUUAUAUGCAAAUUGGAUAUAGAAAAAGCUUAUGACAACAUCAAUUGGAAAUUCUUAAUGAAGGUCUUACAAAAAAUGGGUUUUGGGGCUAAGUGGGUGGGAUGGAUGUGGAGUUGCGUGUCCUCUACCAAAUUCUUAGCUCUUGUUAAUAGAGUACCAACUGGUUUUUUCCCUAGCACUAAAGGGCUUAGACAAAGAGAUCUUCUAUCCCCUUAUCUUUUUUGUAAGGAAUUUGAGGCUAAUCCAAACUAUGCUAAUCACCCUAGAGAGGGGGGGUAAAUAGGGUGAUGGUCUCUUUUUCACAAAUUUAAACUAUGCAAAAAUAAGAGAUAAUUAUAUGCAAAUAUAUAAUAAACAAAAUAAACACAAUUACAUAUAAUUUAAAAGAGUUAGGGAAGAGAGAGUGCAAACAUGAGAGUUUAUAGUGGUUCGGCACUUCCUUGCCUACGUCCACUCUCCUCAACCUUUUAACCGAGUGAGGGUUCCACUAUCUUGAAGUUUCAACCAAACUUCCAAUCUCUUUACAAUUGGAUUAUGGUUCUAAUUCACCCUCUUAGACUUUUGGCUCCAAGCACCUUUUACACUUCUUAAGAGUUAUCCCACUCUUGAACAACCUCUCAAGUGAUACCCCUCACUUGAGAAAAUUCAUCUAAAAAAUAUACAAAGAUUGAUCUCACAAAGAUCCUAGUAAUAGAACUUUAGGCUCAAAAAUACAAGAAAAACUAGGAUUGAAUGGUACACUAAAGAUAUGCAAGUUAUGAAACAAUGGUGCACUCAAAAACACUCUUCCAAGGCUCAAAUAUAAUCAAGAAUGAUUUGGGAAGGUUAAGCUUAUGAAACAAUGAAGAUUGAAGCCUUUUUAUAGAAGAAAAAAGUCAAACUAGCCGUUGGGGGUUCGACCGGUCGAGCUAGGUGUCGACUGGUUGACUAGCCGUUAGGGAAAGUGACCGUUGGGCCUCAACCGGACCUCAACCGGUCCUCAAUUGGACCUCAACCGAACCUCAACCGAACCUCAACCGAUUGAGGUUCAACCUUGACUGGGAAGAGAAUGCCACUGGGAGAGAGAGAAACUUUUUGGCCUCCCUCAACCGGUCCUCGACCGGACGAGCACAACCGGUCGACCGGUUGAACCAGUUGAGCCAUUUUUUUGGCUCAACACUCAACCCUUUUCAACUUAAAACCUUUUAACACAAGUUUGAAAAUCAUUUAACAGAAGGUUUUAGUUGAAAACAUGAAAUCAUCCAAUUCUUAAGAUAUUUAAAACAAUAUUACUUUUGGAUGAUUUUGGUUCAUAAAUAAAUAAUGAAAUGCAUGAAAGUCCUAGUGCACCAACAACCUUACAAAGAGAUCUUAAGAAGCUUUGGUCUUGAAAAAAACUCUUCUCUUUGAGGUGGUCUUCUUCUACAUGAUUUCUCCUUGGCUUGAUUUGUCUUUGGAUUACCACUUUGGAAGUCGUCUUGCCUAAUCACACUUAAAAUGUAGUCAUUAGUUUUAAACCUUGUUUUGUUAUCAUCAAAAUCAAGAUUAACCAAACCUUGGUUUCACAUCUUUGUUAUGGGAAUGGAAGUGUUGGACGUCCUCAUCAGGAGAGCUGUGGAGGGGGGAUACUUAUCAGGAUGCAUAAUUCGGGGUGGUAGUAGACCCUCUUUGAACAUCUCCCACCUAUUUUUUGCUGAUGACACAAUAGUGUUUUGUGAGGUAAGUAAAGAGCAAUUAUCUUACCUAAGUUGGAUUCUUCUUUGGUUUGAAGCAGCUUCAGGCCUUAGAAUUAAUUUAGCCAAAAGCGAAAUCAUCCCAGUUGGAGAAGUGGAGGAGAUUCAUGAGCUGGCAGUUGAGUUAGGGUGUAGGGUGGGAUCCUUGCCCUUUCAAUAUUUGGGACUCCCUCUAGUGGUUCCUAAUAGGGCUACUUCUAUGUGGGAUGGAGUGGAAGAGAGAGUUAGGAGGAGACUUGCGCUUUGCAAAAGGCAGUACAUUUCCAAAGGGGGGAGGAUCACUCUUAUAAAAAGCACCUUGGCUAGCAUGCCAAUAUACCAAAUGUUUAUUUUUCGAAUGCCCAAGUCUGUUGCUAAAAGAGUAGAGAAAGUUCAAAGGACUUCCUAUGGGGGGAGGACACUUAGAGGGGAAAAUUCAUCUAGUUAAAUGGAAUGUGGUUUGCACAGAAAAAAACAAGGGUGGGCUAGGCUUAAGGAAAAUAGCCAUGCUAAACAGAGCCUUGCUUGGUAAGUGGAUUUGGAGGUUUGCUUGUGAAAAAGAUUAUCUUUGGAAGCAAGUGAUCACAACGAAGUAUGGGUAAGAGGAUCAUGGAUGAAGGUCAAAGAAGUCUAAUGAGGCGGUUGGAGUAGGGGUGUGGAAGGAGAUUUUGAAAGAAUCUGAUUGGUGCUGGGAUAAUCUAGUGUUUCUAGUUGGGAAGGGCUCCAAAAUCAAAUUUUGGAAAGAUACUUGGUGCACUGACACACCGCUGUCCCAUUAUAUCACUUACCUCUUUGUUCUGGUCGCGCAUAGGGACGCAACAAUUGAGGAGAUGUGAGACCAAAAUUCUGGUCAAGGAGGCUGGAACCUAAUUUUUUUUAGAGACUUUAAUGAUUGGGAGUUGGAUAUGGUUGGGAAUUUGCUUCAUAUCUUGAGGGGUCAUAGGCCUUCUUUGGAGGAAGAUUCAAUUAUGUGGAGGCGAGGAAGAAAUGGUCUCUUUAGGGUCAAGGAAGCUUAUAGGCUGCUGGACAACCCUAAUGACAUAGUUUUUCCUUCAAGGAGCAUCUGGGUGGAUGAGGUGCCAACUAAAGUUGCUUUUUUCGCUUAGGAGGCGACGUGGGGGAAGGUGCUCACUCUGGAUAGGCUCCAGAUAAGAGGAGUGCAACUCCCUAAUUAUUGUUUUUUGUGUGGUUGUGAAGAAGAAAAUGUAAAUCAUAUUCUUAUACACUAUAUAGUGGCUAGAGCUAUGUGGGAUAUUAUUCUUGGGUUAGUAGAUGUUAAAUGGGUCUUCCCAAAAACUGUAAAGGAGGUCUUAACUACCUGGAGGGGCCCAUUUGUAGGGAAGAAAAAGAAAAAUGUUUGGAAAUUCAUACUGUUGUGUAUCUUUUGGACGGUUUGGAAUGAGAGGAAUAUGUUAGCUUUUAGGGGGGGGUGUUGAAUAUCCAGAAAUUAAAGAAUUUUUUUGUUUGUAACUUAUGGAGCUAGGCCAAAGUGUAUUUAGGCGAGGAGUCUCUCUCCCUUAUAGACUUUUUGGAGUGGGUAGCAUCCACUUAAAGGGAGGUAGUCCUUUUUUAGGCUUUAACUGCCUUGUAUACUCUGUGGCUUUUAACAUUUUUCUAAUGCAUAUCUUGUUUUCUUAUAAAAAAAAAAAAAUCAUUUUGUUUUGGGGAAUAUGAAACCAUUAAAGGUCAAUGCAUCCUACGAUUUUCAUAAUAUUUUUAAAAUUCUUUUAAUGUGAAUUCAUCUCUUCUAUUAGAUUUCUUUGGUUAUUAUGAUCACUUUCCUUUUCAAUAAGUGUUUUAAAUUUAUUAAAAGCACAAAAUACUUCAAUUUUUUCCUUUAAAAAAUACAUCCAAAAUUUUAUACUAAAAUCAUGAAUGAAAAACAAAAAAUAUUUAUUCUUACAAAAAAAAAAGUUUGAAUGAAUCGGAUCACAUACAUCCGAAUAAAUAAGUUUUAGAGACUUUUUAUUCUUAUACAUGCUUCUUUUGAAAAUUAUUUUUACAGCAUGUUUCUCAAAUAAGCAUCCUUCACAUUAUUCAUUCAUUUUUGGAAAGCAAUUCUCAUAUUUUUUUUGUUCUAACAAUUUUAAUUUAUCAAAAUUAAGAUAUUCAAAUCUUAAAUGUCAAAUCCAAAAGGAAUCAUUGACAUGAGAUUUUAGACAUUUUACAAUAUCAUUUUAUAUAUUUAAAAAAUAACAUUGCAUUUCUUGUCAUAGACAUAUUUACAUGCUAUCUCUUAUUAAAAGACUUUGAUUUUUCAUAUAAAUAUCAGUCUUUUUUUAAAAACUAGCCCAAACUUAAUAUAUUAUUUGUCAUGUUGGGUACAUAACAAAUAAUGUUCAAGAUAAAUCGAUGCAUUCCAUUCUUAUUUUACCUUUGCCUAGAUAUAUAAUAAUUCUUUCCCCACAAAAUGGACUUAACUUUGAACAGUUCCAAAGAUGGGUGAGCCCCAAAAAAAUGGCUAUUUGGACAAACUCUAAGGGUUGUUUGGGCUUGUCCAUUAAUUUGGGACAUGAAACCCACUAAAGGCUAAAGCCAGAAGCAGACUAGUCUUAUCCAAGAAGGUAGAACAUAAAAGUAUAUUACACACAAACGUUAUGGUAAUAGUUAAAAUAAAACUUUUGUUCAAUCACUCUUAAAUCUUACAAAAACCUUAUAAUUUCAGGGUAAUACUUCUUAGGAAGAUCAGUUUUCCCAUCUUCUCUACGCAUACAAUGAAGCUUCCAACCUGAAGAGAGAUACACCAAAGAAGAAGAAAAACAGAGCAGAAAGGCUUUCAUUCAUACUCAAAACUACAAUAUUUAUAAAGAAAUCAUCAGCUUCUAUGUAGAAGCCAAUGACCCAAUAUCAUACCCAGACCAAAUUCACAGAAAUCCCAAUUAGAUCAGCUUAUCUGCAAUUACCCACUCAGAAUCACGGAGAUUUAAGCGAUCUUGACCUCAAUGGUCUUGGGCUUCUUGGGCUCCGGCGGUGGUAGCUUCUCAACGGUGACGGUCAGUACUCCAUCUUGACAAACCGCGGAGAUCUUAUCAG
rnacentral:lncRNA from 1 species